rnacentral:rRNA from 1 species
CCUACGGGAGGCAGCAGUGGGGAAUAUUGGACAAUGGUGGAAACCCUGAUCCAGCAACGCCGCGUGAGUGAAGAAGUAUUUCGGUAUGUAAAGCUCUAUCAGCAGGGACGAAAGAAAUGCCGGUACCUGGGUAAGAAGCCCCGGCUAACUACGUGCCAGCAGCCGCGGUAAUACGUAGGGGGCAAGCGUUAUCCGGAUUUACGGGGUGUAAGGGGCGUGUAGCCGGAGAGACAAGUCAGAUGUGAAAUCCACGGGCUCAACCUGUGACCUGCAUUUGAAACUGUUUCCCUUGAGUGUUGGAGAGGCAAUCGGAAUUCCUGGUGUAGCGGUGAAAUGCGUAGAUAUAAGGAAGAACACCAGUGGCGAAGGCGGAUUACUGGACGAUAACUGACGGUGAGGCGCGAAAGCGUGGGGAGCAAACAGGAUUAGAUACCCUUGUAGUC